rnacentral:rRNA from 1 species
UACGGGGGGGGCAAGCGUUGUUCGGAAUUACUGGGCGUAAAGGGCUCGUAGGCGGCCAACUAAGUCAGACGUGAAAUCCCUCGGCUUAACCGGGGAACUGCAUCUGAUACUGGAUGGCUUGAGUUCGGGAGAGGGAUGUGGAAUUCCAGGUGUAGCGGUGAAAUGCGUAGAUAUCUGGAGGAACACCGGUGGCGAAGGCGGGUCUCUGGGCCGAUACUGACGCUGAUGCGCGAAAGCCAGGGGAGCAAACGGG